AGGCAUUUGAAGAUGCUUCUUUUGAUGCUGUUAUUGAUAAGGGAACCUUAGACUCCAUUUUGUGUGGGAGCAAUUCGAGGCAAUACUCAACACAAAUGCUUGAGGAAGUUUGGAGGUACUUUUAUA